UUUUAUAUAGUUGGUAACCAGGUAGCCGUAGGGGAACCUGCGGCUGGAUCACCUCCUUAAUCGAAGAUCUCGGCUUCUUCAUAAGCUCCCACACGAAUUGCUUGAUUCACUGGUUAGACGAUUGGGUCUGUAGCUCAGUUGGUUAGAGCGCACCCCUGAUAAGGGUGAGGUCGGCAGUUCGAAUCUGCCCAGACCCACCAAUUGUUGGUGUGCUGCGUGAUCCGAUACGGGGCCAUAGCUCAGCUGGGAGAGCGCCUGCUUUGCACGCAGGAGGUCAGGAGUUCGAUCCUCCUUGGCUCCACCAUCCAAACAAUCGUCGAAAGCUCAGAAAUGAAUGUUCGUAAAUGAACAUUGAUUUCUGGUCUUUGCACCAGAACUGUUCUUUAAAAAUUCGGGUAUGUGAUAGAAGUAAGACUGAAUGAUCUCUUUCACUGGUGAUCAUUCAAGUCAAGGUAAAAUUUGCGAGUUCAAGCGCGAAUUUUCGGCGAAUGUCGUCUUCACAGUAUAACCAGAUUGCUUGGGGUUGUAUUAUUGGUCGAAAA
rnacentral:misc_RNA from 1 species